rnacentral:lncRNA from 1 species
AAGCACUGCAUUAGGGACUAGGGGUGGGGAUGAUGAAGGCAGGGGCUGCUCCUGUAGCUGAGAUCUGGGGUUGACCUUCGGAGUCAGUGUGAGGAGGUCAGAGAAUGACCGAUUUGGGUUUUAGCCUACUAACUGAUCACUGAGAGCAACCCCAUGAACAUGCUAAGCAGGAUUAAAUUUAUCAGUGUUGGGACAGCUCUGUGGAGUAGCUGGAGCCAUCCCUGCGUUUGCCGCCGGGGUUAGGUACUGAGUGUCCUCCAAGCCUCACUUUUCCCCCUGCGGUCCGGCAGAGAAUGGUGGCGUCACCCUAGAGCGAGGAUUUGCAGGAUUCCUCUGCUUGCUCUUCACAGUCCCUGAAGGAUUUUGUUAGUUCUCCAUUACUUUUGUUACCUGAGACCCAUCUUUUCAUCCUGUUCCUCCUCUUCCUUGACGACCUGGGAUGUUUCCACACUGAGACAAAGAGGAAGAGACACAUCUAAGCAAUUCUCUACAGAUAGUCUCACUCAUCUCUGUCCUGAGUUCUCCUUGUGACAAGUCCAAAAGCUUGGCCACAGUCCUGAGGCAAAAAGUUUCAUGGAAACUGGUCUCUUGGAGUCUUUGGCAUCCCAUAACAUGGAUGUGGUCCAGAUAUGUCCUUGCAAUAGUCGUGAAGGGUUUAGUGUGCUUUCUUUCAAUAUUGUUUUUAUUAUAAGUGCCUCCAAGGAAUGAUUUGACAAAUAGCUAAGUUAGAUUGAACAUUGCUUCCUGGCCUCUACCAGUGUUCCAAUAUCCUAGGAAAUUGUUGAGCUGACCUUGGGCUUUGAAUUUCGUAAGAAUGUUACUUAUUCAGACAAAAUGCCUCCAGUGUUGAAAGAGAGAUAGUGAAAGAAAUCAGGCAUUGCAGUUUACUGGUUAAGAGUAGAAAUCUCAGAACAAGUUCUACAAAAUAAACUUGGAAUUCUCACUACAGUCAGGUAUGGCAGACUACAUUACAUAUUAAAAGAAAGUUGGUGGGCUCCUCUGUUAAAUGGAGGUUCCCUAUGGAUACUUAGAAUAACAACCAAGUCACACCCAUAUGCAGGAAUUUACAAUGGUCUAGGAAAAAGGAGGGUUGUGGUUUAAGAAGGAACUAGAGUAAAUACUUAGAAUAACAGCCAAGUCACUUCCAUAUACAGAAAUUUACAAUGGCCUAGGGAGAAGGUGGAUUAUACGAUAGACUAGAAUUGGAACUAUAGCUAGGGCGUGAAACCCUUGCCCCUGGCUUCUAAGAAUAAGCUGACCUUAGGUAGGUAUGAUUUUUAUCUCAGUUGUAAACACUGCCUGGUUCUUGCUAGCUUUUAUGUAUACAUUCCUCUGUUUUGUGUCAUUAUGCAUCAGAUGACUUCAAUGUAUCUUGGCUGAUGUGUCACCUGACUUCCUUGUUUUCUUCUGUAAUAUAAGUCUAAUGCUUGCUUUGAGACAUUACAUUCAGAUUCAACACUC